GAUUACCGCCACUGAUCUAUGCGACAAGAAGAACAGGGGCCCAACCGGAAGGAAACGCAUUCCCCGCCAAGCCAAGAAAAGAGUUCAAACGCCUUUCUUGCUCUUCGCUCCGUGACAUCGACGCGAACGGUGAGCCGAUGAAAAGGGAUAGGAGGCCAGAUGACAACGAUAGCGACGACGAAGGGGGAGCGUCGCCGGAGAAGAAGGCGAAUCUGGAGGAAACACCUACGAGAUCAUUAUCCGCAAGCUGUCGAAUAAACGGAGGGUUUCUGUGAGGAAAUGGAAGGCGGUGGCCGUGGUGUACUUCCGAGAAUUGUACUUCAAGAAGGGCAAACCGCAUCCGGGGAUGAAAGGCAUAUCACUGUCUGCAGACCAGAUGAAGUGGAAUACACUGUGAACUUGGGAAUCUUUCCUGUUGCGAAUUUUGAUUUGUGGUGUAAAUGCGAAUAUGGAACAACAUUUGAAGUAAACACUGCUGAGACGAGCUAUAAUAAUAGACUAACCCCAUUUUGUGCAAAACUUGUCCAUGAAGAGUCGUCCAAAUCUUCAUUUCGAUGAUUGACAAGUUAAACCAUGAAAUGAUCGAGGGGAAUCCAUGGACAAAUAAAGGUACCUAUUCACAUGUGAUUGUGGAAGAAAAAUCUUGUAUGGUUGACAAUUUCGAUGGAAAAUGAUUUAUCUGUUCUGUCUGUUGCAAUUAUUAGAGGCAUCUGAAAUUUCAUAUUUAGUCCAAAGAAUUUACAAGGAUGUUGAUGUCUCAUCACCAUAUCUGUGAGUCUAAUUUGUGGAAUCAGAGUGUGCUCUUGCUUAUCAUUAACGAGUACAGGUUUUGUAGCUUCCAUCAUCGUUGAGCAGUUUGAGAGGCUGACAGUUGCUGAGCAUCGAACCUCUCGUCCGCUAUCUGCUUGAUACAGGUUUACAGAUUGGAUCCACUUUCAUGAACUCACCAGAUAUAUCGUCAUCGGAGAUCUAUUUGAUUCUCAAACAAAUCCUUCUUCGGCUGUACCAGCAACAUGAGAAAAGACAACCCUUGGAUCCACGUCCUCGUGUGAUCGAGCAAUUCUAUCAGUCAUGAUUCGAGUUCUUUGAGAUGCAGGGCCAAGGAUGGGAAUCAUGGCAAAUGAUGGUGAUGUUGACGUAACAACGCUUGCUCGGACCCCCCAUCUCACACCUGCUUCUUUCUCUUGGAGCACAAUGAUUGCACUCUGCUUCCUCUGCGUUACCACGAGUCGAUGGCUUCUACCCUUCAGAUCUCGUGGCCUUCCCGGCUUGUGUUUCGAGAUUCAACUGCCAAUGCUGCUGGACUGAGCUUUCCUUGCAGUUAAGGCAGCGUUAUCAGAGCCAGUGGUCAUGGAAGAGACUGCUAAGAAGAAGAAAGAAGAAAGAAAAUGCAACAAGAAGCAGCAUCAGAGCUUCAAAGAUUUAAAAUCCAACCAGGAAUCCGAACACUGGUGUUCGAACAUAAAACAAUCAUCUCUCUCUAUCUCUCUCUCUCUCUCUCUUAUUAGUUCCUCGAUCUUUGUUCGAGAACUUGGCAUGUGAACGAGGUAAAGCCUCUCCGGCAACUGCUCGAUGUUGCUGUAUAAUCAAACACGAUUCAGAAGAACACAUAAGUAUAAA